GCGCCUGUAGCUCAGUGGUGAGAGCACCAGCCUUAUAAGCUGGGGGUCGGUGGUUCGAUCCCACCCAGGCGCA
rnacentral:tRNA from 1 species